rnacentral:misc_RNA from 1 species
AACUUUUGGCAAUGGAUCACGCAUCGAUGAAGAACGCAGCGAAAUGCGAUACGUAAUGUGAAUUGCAGAAUUCAGUGAAUCAUCGAAUCUUUGAACGCACCUUGCGCCCCUUGGCAUUCCGAGGGGCACACCCGUUUGAGUGUCGUGAAAUUCUCAAAACCUUUUCUUUGAGAAAAGGAUUUUGGACUUGGAGGUUUUUAUGCUUGCUUUCGUGUCUCGAAAGUGAGCUCCUCUCAAAUGAAUUAGUGGGGUCUGCUUUGCUGGUCCUUGACGUGAUAAGAUGUUUUGACGUUUUGGACUUGGCACUGUCUCUUGGAUGCCUGCUUCUAACUGUCCAUCUCAUGGACAAUGAUGGUGCUCUGGUCUCUUCCAUCCACAUUGGCGGGAGGCUGGACCCACAAAAAACCUUGACCUCAAAUCAGGUAGGACUACCCGCUGAACUUAAGCAUAUCAAUAAGCGGAGGCU